GAUGAACGCUAGCGGCAGGCCUAACACAUGCAAGUCGAGGGGUAGAAGUUUUCGGACUUUGAGACCGGCGCACGGGUGCGUAACGCGUAUGCAAUCUGCCUUGUACUGGGGGAUAGCCCAGAGAAAUUUGGAUUAAUACCCCAUAGUAUUUUCGGUUGGCAUCAACUGAUUAUUAAAGUUUUUCGGUACAAGAUGAGCAUGCGUCCCAUUAGCUAGUUGGUAUGGUAACGGCAUACCAAGGCUACGAUGGGUAGGGGUCCUGAGAGGGAGAUCCCCCACACUGGUACUGAGACACGGACCAGACUCCUACGGGAGGCAGCAGUGAGGAAUAUUGGUCAAUGGUCGCAAGACUGAACCAGCCAUGCCGCGUGCAGGAUGAAGCAUCUAUGGUGUGUAAACUGCUUUUGUACGGGAAGAAACACUGCUACGUGUAGCAGCUUGACGGUACCGUAAGAAUAAGGAUCGGCUAACUCCGUGCCAGCAGCCGCGGUAAAAC
rnacentral:rRNA from 1 species